rnacentral:rRNA from 1 species
AUUGAACGCUGGCGGCAUGCCUUACACAUGCAAGUCGAACGGCAGCACGGGAGCAAUCCUGGUGGCGAGUGGCGAACGGGUGAGUAAUAUAUCGGAACGUGCCCGGUCGUGGGGGAUAACGUAGCGAAAGCUACGCUAAUACCGCAUACGAUCUACGGAUGAAAGCGGGGGGAUCGCAAGACCUCGCGCGAUUGGAGCGGCCGAUAUCAGAUUAGGUAGUUGGUGAGGUAAAGGGCUCACCAAGCCGACGAUCUGUAGCUGGUCUGAGAGGACGACCAGCCACACUGGGACUGAGACACGGCCCAGACUCCUACGGGAGGCAGCAGUGGGGAAUUUUGGACAAUGGGCGCAAGCCUGAUCCAGCAAUGCCGCGUGCAGGAUGAAGGCCUUCGGUUGUAAC